rnacentral:rRNA from 1 species
CCUACGGGAGGCAGCAGUGAGGAAUAUUGGUCAAUGGACGCAAGUCUGAACCAGCCAUGCCGCGUGCAGGAAGACGGCUCUAUGAGUUGUAAACUGCUUUUGUACGAGGGUAAACGCAGAUACGCGUAUCUGUCUGAAAGUAUCGUACGAAUAAGGAUCGGCUAACUCCGUGCCAGCAGCCGCGGUAAUACGGAGGAUUCAAGCGUUAUCCGGAUUUAUUGGGUUUAAAGGGUGCGUAGGCGGUCGGAUAAGUUAGAGGUGAAAUCCCGAGGCUCAACUUCGGAAUUGCCUCUGAUACUGUUCGGCUAGAGAGGAGUUGCGGUAGGCGGAAUGUAUGGUGUAGCGGUGAAAUGCUUAGAGAUCAUACAGAACACCGAUUGCGAAGGCAGCUUACCAAGCUACUUCUGACGUUGAGGCACGAAAGCGUGGGGAGCGAACAGGAUUAGAUACCCCUGUAGUC